rnacentral:rRNA from 1 species
UACGUAGGUGGCAAGCGUUGUCCGGAUUUACUGGGCGUAAAGAGCGCGCAGGCGGCUGGUCAAGUCCGAUGUGAAAUCUCCCGGCUUAACUGGGAAACUGCAUCGGAAACUGAUCGGCUUGAAGGUGGGAGAGGGUAGUGGAAUUCCCGGUGUAGUGGUGAAAUGCGCAGAUAUCAGGAGGAACACCGGUGGCGAAGGCGGGUCUCUGGGCCGAUACUGACGCUGAGGAGCGAAAGCGUGGGGAGCGAACAGG